GAUCCCAUCGUCUAGAGGCCUAGGACACUGCCCUUUCACGGCGGCGACCGGGGUUCGAAUCCCCGUGGGAUCG
rnacentral:tRNA from 1 species